AUGAGCCUGCGAGUUACGGUAUGUAGCGAGGUUAAGGAAUAGUAGUUCUGGAGCCGAAGGGAAACCGAGUCUGAAAAGGGCGAAAAGUUGCAUGUCGUAGACCCGAAGCCAAGGUGAUCUAGUCAUGAGCAGGUUGAAGCAAGGGUAAAACCUUGUGGAGGACCGAACUAUAAUCUGUUAAAAAAGGUAUGGAUGACUUGUGACUCGGAGUGAAAGGCUAAACAAACCUGGAAAUAGCUGGUUCUCCCCGAAAUGCCUUUAGGGACAGCCUCAUACAGGAUUAACGGAGGUAAAGCACUGGAUGGAAUAGGGGGCGUCACUGCCUACCAACCCCAAUCAAACUCUGAAUGCCGUUAAUUAACGUAUGGGAGUGAGACUGUGUGCGACAAGGUUCAUAGUCGAAAGGGAAACAGCCCAGACCAACAGCUAAGGUCCCGAAAUAUCGCUAAGUGUAAAAUGAAGUGCAAAUGCAAAGACAGCCAGGAGGUUGGCUUAGAAGCAGCCAUUCCUUGAAAGAGUGCGUAAUAGCUCACUGGUCGAGCAUCUGUGCGCAGAUAAUGUAACGGGGCUAAGCGAUAUACCGAAGCUUUGGAUCUAUACUGAAUAGUAUAGGUGGUAGGGGAGCAUUCCUUGUGUUGAAGAAGAAGGAUCUGUGAGGGCCUUUGGAGAUAGAGGAAGAGAGAAUGCAGGUAUAAGUAACGAAAAGAUGGGUGAGAUCCCCAUCCGCCGAAAACCUAAGGUUUCCUGGGUAAAGGUAAUCUGCCCAGGGUAAGUCGGCCCCUAAGGCGAGGACGAAAGUCGUAGUCGAUGGGAAUCCGGUUCAAAAUCCGGAACCUCUAUAAGUUUCGAUGGCAGGACGCAUGAGGUGAAACCCGGCCAGUGAAUGGUAGAACUGGUCAAAGCAAUAAGCUGAAGAGUGAUAUAGGCAAAUCCGUAUCAUGAGGUGAGUUGUGACAGCGAGCGGAGAGAAAGUUGAAGUGAAGCGGGUGUAAUCAAGGUGCCGAGAAAUACUGUCUAAGGCUAGGCUUGUGGAGACCGUACCGUAAACCGACACAGGUAGGUGGGAUGAGAAAUCUAAGGCGCUCGAGAGAACUCACGUUAAGGAACUCGGCAAAAUGCACACGUAACUUCGGAAGAAGUGUGGCCCCUGUUUGGUAAAAGAGUGGGGGUGGCACAGAGCAGGCCCAGGCGACUGUUUAACAAAAACACAGCCAUCUGCGAACCAGUAAUGGGACGUAUAGGUGGUGACACCUGCCCGGUGCUGGAAGGUUAAGAGGAGAUGUGAAGUAAGAGCUGAAGCAUUGAAUUGAAGCCCCAGUAAACGGCGGCCGUAACUAUAACGGUCCUAAGGUAGCGAAAUUCCUUGUCGGGUAAGUUCCGACCCGCACGAAUGGUGUAACGAUUCUGGGCACUGUCUCAACGUGAGACUCGGUGAAAUUUAUAUACCGGUAAAGAAGCCGGUUACCCACAGUUAGACGGAAAGACCCCGUGAACCUUCACCGUAACUUACUAUUGGGAUUCUAUUUAUCAUGUGUAGAAUAGGCGGGAGACAGCGAAGUGUGGCCGUUAGGUUGCAUGGAGUCGGCCGGUGAAAUACCGCCCUUGGUGAAUGGAAUUUCUAACGCUGACCUUGAAGCAGGUAAGCGGACAAUGGUAGGCAGGCGGUUUGACUGGGGCGGUCGCCUCCCAAAAGGUAACGGAGGCGCGCGAAGGUCUCCUCACGCUGGUUGGAAAUCAGCGCACGAGUGUAAAGGCACAAGGAGGCUUGACUGCGAGACUGACAGGUCGAGCAGGUACGAAAGUAGGUCUUAGUGAUCUGGCGGUAGCGAGUGGAAGCGCCGUCACUUAACGGACAAAAGGUACUCCGGGGAUAACAGGCUGAUCUUCCCCAAGAGUUCACAUCGACGGGAAGGUUUGGCACCUCGAUGUCGGCUCAUCGCAUCCUGGGGCUGGAGCAGGUCCCAAGGGUUUGGCUGUUCGCCAAUUAAAGCGGUACGUGAGCUGGGUUCAGAACGUCGCGAGACAGUUCGGUCCCUAUCUGCUGUGGGCGUUGGAUGAUUGAGAGGGGCUGCUUUUAGUACGAGAGGACCGAAGUGGACGAACCUCUGGUUUACCAGUUAUUCUGCCAAGGGUAAGUGCUGGGUAUCUAAGUUCGGAAGGGAUAACCGCUGAAAGCAUCUAAGCGGGAAGCCCGCCUCAAGAUAAAUCAUCCCUGAGGAUUUAAUCCUCCUAAAGACUACGGACAGACUAUCCGUUUGAUAGGUUGCAGGUGUAAGUAUAGUAAUGUAUUCAGCCGAGCAAUACUAAUAAGUCGUGAGGCUUGACCAU
rnacentral:rRNA from 1 species